rnacentral:rRNA from 1 species
GAUGAACGCUGGCGGCGUGCCUAAUACAUGCAAGUCGAGCGAACAGACGAGGAGCUUGCUCCUCUGACGUUAGCGGCGGACGGGUGAGUAACACGUGGAUAACCUACCUAUAAGACUGGGAUAACUUCGGGAAACCGGAGCUAAUACCGGAUAAUAUAUUGAACCGCAUGGUUCAAUAGUGAAAGACGGUUUUGCUGUCACUUAUAGAUGGAUCCGCGCCGCAUUAGCUAGUUGGUAAGGUAACGGCUUACCAAGGCAACGAUGCGUAGCCGACCUGAGAGGGUGAUCGGCCACACUGGAACUGAGACACGGUCCAGACUCCUACGGGAGGCAGCAGUAGGGAAUCUUCCGCAAAGGGCGAAAGCCUGACGGAGCAACGCCGCGUGAGUGAUGAAGGUCUUCGGAUCGUAAAACUCUGUUAUUAGGGAAGAACAAAUGUGUAAGUAACUAUGCACGUCUUGACGGUACCUAAUCAGAAAGCCACGGCUAACUACGCG